rnacentral:lncRNA from 1 species
CCUCUACCAUUGAUGUAAGAUUCCUUAACAUCACCACUUCCCUUCUAAUUAACAUCUGAAAUCUCAAUUCUUAAGCCUGUUUUUUGUGACUUUCACGUUAAAUCAGCCCAUCUUUCUUGACACAACUUUUUCCUCUCCUCUUUCUUCCUUCUUCCAAUCCAUCAAAAAAAAACAAAUUAAGAGCCUACACUGUACAAGUAACAAUUGUUGAGGGUUCAUCAUAAGGAAGGUAAAAUUCUACUUCUUUAAGAGCUGGAAUGACUGGAUGUGCAAACACGACAUGUGGAGAAAGAAGCGAGUGCUCCAGUAAACGAUGGUCUUUCCUUCAAAGACAGCCAGCAUUUCCACGGUCCUGUUCCCAUGGUAAGCUUUCCUGGCUAUGUGACCUGAGGCCUCAGUUUCUCCAUCGACAAGAUGAAAAUAAUGACAUCACCUAUCUGAGAGAGCUCAUCUGCCUAAUCGCUAGCCCAGUGAACACCGUGGUAGGAAGACAGAGCGAUCCAACUGCAGGCUGCGGGAGAACUGACAAGACCUGGGACUGUCAAUCUCAGGGGAGGCCCUGCUGCGUUAUCCCAUGAGAAGGGCUGCUGACUAUGCCACUGUGCCAAACCUGGACUUUAUCUCUUACAUCGAUUUGAUUUGGUUUCUCUCAGUCCUCAAGUCAGAUUUGUAUCUGAAUUGAUCACUGAGCCUUUGACAAGUGUCAUCUGCUGUAUAUAUUGCAAUUCAUGACAUUUAAGGGCCUGUUGACCUAGCAAUUCGGCUCCCAUGCAGGAAACAAGAUACCAACUUCAUUUAAAAAUAUGGUACAAUUGACAAAUGCUCAUAUUAACUCAAAUACAUAACAGGAGGCAAGAAAGUAUUCUAAAAUUUAUUUAAUGAUGGUAUCUAUGUAGUUUUACCCCAUCUUUAUUCUUUCGCUAAACAAGAAUAUGUUUCUGUAAUGUCAAAGGUAUACUGGGAACUACUACUAGUCUUCCAUUGCUGCUGUGGAAGUGUUUCAAUUUUUGAAAGUGUAAGAGAUGAGGGAAGAAAUCUGGAUAUAUCAGAUUCUUUGGAAAAUAACAGAUAAGUAAACAUGUAAUAUAUUAUGGCUACUAUUUUAAUG